CUCGGUCCCCUCGGCUCCGGGGGCGCCCGGCUGGGCCCAGCUCCGCGGGCGCGCCCCCGUCACCCCCUCCCAGGCCAGUUCAGGGCAGCGCCAAGGGGCCGCGGGCUCAGGCUGAGGCCUCCUCCUGCCUAGGCGUCUGGCGUCCGUUUGUCUGUCCGAGGCCUCAGCGCAGGUAAAGCGCGGGGCUGGGGGGCGCAGAGCUCCAUUGGGCUGGGAACCAGCGCGUCUCGUGCCCUUGGGGGACCCGCCUGCCCGAGCCGCCUGCUAAGCCUCCCGCUCCCCUCCACGCUGGAGCGCGCGGAGCCCGGUCUGCUCGGAACUCCACUCUGCGGGAGCGGAGGCCGGCGCCAGCCCGGGAAGCCGCGCAGGGGGCGGGAGGCCGAGCGCGAGGCCCUUGGCGCCGGGCCUCCGCGGCCAGGCCGGGCAGCUUACGAUUCUUCAUCAACUCGUAAAAUGAGAUCGCCGCGGAGCUCGAGCCUAUUUGGCGUCUCCGGAGACUAGCAAGACCCUCUGAAAGACACCGCGUCCCCAGGGAUAAUCCCCCGUGUCCGGCAAAGCUGCCCCGCUCGAGCGCGAACCCUGGGACCCAGCGCGGGAGGCAGACCAGCAGCUGGCCGCUGGGCUGUGAACGCCAGGACCGAGCGGAAGCUUCCCGCCCGGCCGCGAUCGGUGCCGCGGCUCUCAGGGAAGUGGCUACGCGCGUCCCUCGGGAAAGCAGAUUAUCGGAGCCCUUUCAGAGAGCGCACAACAAAUGCGCCCGCCAUCGAAUGCAUCAUUUACCACCGCAGAUCCGAGCGCUGAUGGGCAGGCAGAUAGCCCUCUGCUGGGGGCACGCGGGCUCCCCGUGCCCGUACCACUCGCCUGCCUGCCGGGGCCACUGAGUGUGCGCCCCGGUGUGCCCGGCGUGUUUGGAUGGACACGUGGGUGUGCCAGUGCAUGGGCUAACGCCGAUGCAACUGUGCGGGUGUGUCAAACAAGUGUACCACAAAAAAGUGCAGGUGUGCGAGCCCAUCCAUGCACACGCAUGGCAGGCGUCUGUGCUGUGUCCGGAGGCGGCCGAUGAGGCGGGUGGAGGGUUCACACAGGAGGCGGUGCUGCACUAAGCUUGUGGGCAGGCAUGCGGCCCAGGGUGGCUGGACACGUGGUGGAGGAAUGGGAAUGCAAGCCCGCGUGUCCGAGUGCAGCGGAUGAGCAUCCUGCGAGUGCCUCACUGUGUCUGCCCUGGAGGUGGCUGUUUAGGGGAGCACGCCGGAGGCCACUAGGGUGGAUGUGCUGUGUGCAUGCAAGUGCCCACCCUACGUUGUGUUUCGGGGCACACAAGCUACCUGUGCCUACCGGGAUGAGCAUGCAAGUGUCACCGCUCCCGCCGGGCGUGCUUGGGGUGUGCUUGGGUCUGCGUGAGGCUGUGUGUGUCCUGCCGUAUCUCUGCCCAGGUGUGCCCUGGUGAGCUGAGAGAGGGGCACGGGGAAGGGCAGUCGUCGGGGCCUGUCCGUGUGCCAGCGUGGGUGGACUCCGGGCUGGGGAAGCGACAGGGAAUGGUGUGUGCCGGUGUGACAGACGCCAGAGCGGCGGGGUGGAACGUGCUGUGUCACGGGAGACUUUCUUGACCAAAACGGAAUGUGCGAGUGUGGAAGGAAGAGGGGCCGUCCGCGGAGUUUGGGGACACCCGGGCGUCCGAGCCCCAGAGCCUCUGCAGCUGGGACAAGGAAGCCCGAGCCCGCCGCCUGAGGUCCCCGCGCCGUUAGUGACACGCGCCGCCGACAAAGGCUGUAUUUUUCCAGGCUCGCGCCCCGCCCGCGCGCGCGCGAUGGUCCCCAUGGCGACGCAGAUAGCGCCGCAGCCAUUUUCCCUAUCUCCCCAGAGUCUAUUAUACGGCGGGAUUAGCUCAUCUCCAGGCAGGUCAAACCCAAAGUCACACAACCUGCGACGCGGGCCCCGCCCCCACUCCCCGGC
rnacentral:lncRNA from 1 species